UACGUAGGGUGCGAGCGUUGUCCGGAAUUAUUGGGCGUAAAGAGCUCGUAGGCGGUCUGUUGCGUCGGCUGUGAAAACCCGGGGCUCAACCCCGGGCCUGCAGUCGAUACGGGCAGGCUAGAGUCCGGCAGGGGAGACUGGAAUUCCUGGUGUAGCGGUGAAAUGCGCAGAUAUCAGGAAGAACACCUAUGGCGAAGGCAGCUCUCUGGGACGGUACUGACGCUGAGACGCGAAAGCGUGGGGAGCGAACAGG
rnacentral:rRNA from 1 species